AAGAGAAGAGGGUCAGUGACUGCAGCUGGCCGAGGCAGGCACCCACCCGAGAACCUCCUCUCCAGCGCCCUGAAGGCACAGACGCCAAAGGACAGUCUUCAUUGUUUCAUUUUUUCCUAAUAAUAACUAUGUGCGUAUGGCAAGCAUUUCAAUCAGCACAGCAAGGAAAGACCUAGCGAGGCGCCCCCGCCCCCUGGGCCUUCCCAGUCCCUCCAACUCAGGGCAACCGCUGUGAACCCGCAUCUGUUCGUCCUUCUGCACGAACUUUGUACAUCUGUGAUGCAGUCAUUUGUAAUAAGAAAUCCGUAUUUGCUCUUCGUCCCUGUUCCGAGCACAGAGACCCUAACGCCCUUGGGAUUUCCUCAAUGAGAACAGCAGUGAAGGCGAAAUGAGUGUCUUUUGUACUCCUAAGAACCCCGGUCCAGCUCACCUGAGUUUAUGUUAAUGAGGUGACUUUUGGAAAGCCCCUAAGGAGGGGCUGGUUGCCAGGGGAACCAGCCAACGUAUGAGGGGGUUGGACCUUUCGGCCCCACCCCCUACCUCCACCUCCAGGGAGGGGAAAGGGGCUGGAGGCGGAGCUAGUCACAAGGGCCAAUGAUCUAGUCAACCAUAGUGAUAAAGCCUGUUUUUUACAGUGUUUUAGUUGCUGAGGACAAGCAGGUGCUGGCAGAGCAGAGGCCUGGGGAAGGUGUGGAAGCUCUUUAUUCCCCAGCCCACUCUGUGCAUCACUUCCAUCUGUUCCCGAGCUUACAACACACUGAUGAUGUUCUCUACUCCCUUAGAGUUUCCAUGAGGAUAGUCCCGUGUGGCACUCAGAUCCAGAGCUCCCAGCUUCCCAGACAGCUCCAGCAGCUCAAACCACGGGUGCUGCCACCUCCCUCCCAUUCUCUGAUGUCAGCUGUCUCCGUGAGAGCCACCGCCAUCUGCCUGGCUUUGAGAGUUAGAAACCUGAAGAUCUCUCCUCUCUCUCACCCCCACAUCUGAUCCAUUCAGGCUUACUUCCUCUCUUCAUUUCUUCUUAAUUUGAGAAAAAAAAAAAAAAGGAAUUAAAUACAGAAAAUACAAAGAAUGAGUACAUACUCCCAAUCCCCUUCCACAGAAUUAACAGCUAUAAACAUUCAGUUAUAUUUGCUUCCAAUUUUUUUUUUUUCUUUUUCCCCCAAAAGCCAUUACCUGCAGUCUCCUGUCUCCCUAUUCUAUCAGAGAAAGUAUUAUGAGUUCAAGGUAUGAAAUUCCAGUCCACUUUCUUAUACUUCUACAAAUAAGAAUACAUGUAUCUGUAAACAAAGAUGUAGUUUUGGUUUAUAUUGUCAUCUGCAUAAAUGUUGUACUUUAUGCGUCUUGCUUUUUCCACUUAACAUUGUAGAUGCUUUCCAUGUAACAUCAUACACGUGUGUCCACGUUAAUACUAUA